rnacentral:rRNA from 1 species
ACCUCAGUUCGGAUUGAAGGCUGAAAUUCGCCUUCAUGAAGUCGGAAUUGCUAGUAAUGGCAGGUCAGCAUACUGCCGUGAAUACGUUCCCGGGCCUUGUACACACCGCCCGUCACACCAUGAGAGUUGGAGAUACCCGAAGCCCAUGAGCUAACUUUUAGAGGCAGUAGUCGAAGGUAGAAUCAAUGAUUGGGGUGAAGUCGUAACAAGGUAUC